UUGAGGCGGGCUGGACCUCUCGGGGUUACAGCCUUGCUGAAUUAUUCACCCUUGUCUUUUGCGUACUUCUUGUUUCCUUGGUGGGUUCGCCCACCACUAGGACAAACAUAAACCUUUUGUAAUUGCAAUCAGCGUCAGUAACAAAUUAAUAAUUACAACUUUCAACAACGGAUCUCUUGGUUCUGGCAUCGAUGAAGAACGCAGCGAAAUGCGAUAAGUAGUGUGAAUUGCAGAAUUCAGUGAAUCAUCGAAUCUUUGAACGCACAUUGCGCCCUUUGGUAUUCCAAAGGGCAUGCCUGUUCGAGCGUCAUUUGUACCCUCAAGCUUUGCUUGGUGUUGGGCGUCUUGUCUCUAGCUUUGCUGGAGACUCGCCUUAAAGUAAUUGGCAGCCGGCCUACUGGUUUCGGAGCGCAGCACAAGUCGCACUCUCUAUCAGCAAAGGUCUAGCAUCCAUUAAGCCUUUUUUUCAACUUUUGACCUCGGAUCAGGUAGGGAUACCCGCUGAACUUAAGCAUAUCAAUAAGCGGAGGAA
rnacentral:rRNA from 1 species